rnacentral:rRNA from 1 species
UGGGGAAUCUUGCACAAUGGGGGAAACCCUGAUGCAGCGACGCCGCGUGAGCGAUGAAGCCCUUCGGGGUGUAAAGCUCUUUCGGCAGGGACGAUGAUGACGGUACCUGAAGAAGAAGCUGCGGCUAACUACGUGCCAGCAGCCGCGGUAAUACGUAGGCAGCGAGCGUUGUUCGGAGUUACUGGGCGUAAAGCGUGCGUAGGCGGUGGCCCAAGUCUGGUGUGAAAUCUCCCGGCUUAACCGGGAGGGUGCGCCGGAAACUGGGUUGCUGGAGUAUGGGAGAGGCAGGCGGAAUUCCAGGUGUAGCGGUGAAAUGCGUAGAUAUCUGGAGGAACACCCGUGGUGCAGACGGCCUGCUGGACCAUGACUGACGCUGAGGCACGAAAGCGUGGGUAGCAAACAGGAUUAGAUACCCUGGUAGUCCACGCCCUAAACGAUGCGCACUUGGUGUGGGCAGUUCAGUCUGUCCGUGCCGAAGCUAACGCGAUAAGUGCGCC